rnacentral:tRNA from 1 species
CAAAUUAAAGCUUAAAGCAUUUUAGUUACAUUAAAAAGAAAAUUGUUGAAUCAAUUUAAUUUGA